UUUGAUUUGGAGUUUGUGCUGUGCCUUUCUGCCUCCAGGGCAUUGCGAGGCUGUGAGGCUGUUGCUGUCGACCCUUUCAAUCACCGUGGAACGCCACUGCACUUGGCGGCCGCCAAGGAACAGGAUCAGGAUAUGAAGAUCCUGCCGGAGCAUGGUGCUGACAGUUGUCCAUCAUGUUUGUUCACCACUUAUGAUGGUGUGCUCCAUGGAAUCAUUGAAAUGCGUGAAGCUACUGGUUCAGGCUGGUGCUGAUGUGAACUUUAAAAGUUCAUCUGGGCCAUCUGCUUUAAGGUUUGCAGUUGAUGAUGGCUUAACCGACAUUGUGAAGUUUUUCCUAGAGGUUGGAACGGACCCAAACAUUCCUGACCAUCAGGUCUGUUUGCAUCCAAUUGCAGUGAUCUCUCUUGAGAUAUCCAUUGAUUGGCAGUGGAAGCUCUAGUGAUAA